UGUGCACAGGAUGGGGCCAUCAUCGCAGCUCAUGAAUGAGAAAACCCACAUGGAGCUGGGGGAAGGUGACCGGCCGCAGGGUGAGUGAGCACACCGUUCCCCGCUGAGGGCCUGGCUCUCUUCAGCCGUCCUCACCUCUCUGCCCGCGCGCGGCCCUUUCCUCCUGCUUUGCUGGCUCCCCGGCUGCAGGUGGCUUCAGGCUGAGAUGAAACACUGCAAAGCACCACACUCAAUUGUUUCAACCUCUUUGUUCCCAGAAUGCCACUUUGCUUGACCUCUGGACACUUGGGGGCUGACCCCAAGGCUCUGCUCCUGGACCCCUGCCAGAGUCCCCUGGCAGGACAGCUCCUCUGCCCAGCCCCAGCUCGUGGCCAUCAGGUCUGCCCAGGCACAGGAGAUCAAGCCUCCCUGUGAGGAAGCAGGGCCUGAGUCGGCACCCUGGAUGCGUGUGCAGGAGCCCCGGCCCCUUGACCACCAUGGGUUCUCUGCACACAGCUCCCCCACCCCUACCCUUGAAAGCCUAUCUGGUUCUCUGUGAUUUCCAUUGGAGACACACUGAAAUAUCUGCCAUCACGUUUUUACGAUUCCCAGAGAGCUUGCUUUGCUGAUGUGCGUUAAUGCUACAGUAACAACAGAGCAGCUCCAUUCCAGCAGAAUGAGCAACUCACACAAAGAAACCUGUUAACUUUAAUAACACCGAUAAAGCAAGCUCUGCCGCUGCGCCCACAGCAGCCGUCUCGGUCUGGAGCUGCAACCAGAUGCCUGGGCGAGAAAGGCUUGCAAUCGCCCAUUUGGGGACAUCUGGAAAAACCGAGGCCUGCUAAGGAGGGACAGCACCUGCCAGCCGGGUUUCAUUCUCCCGAAUGAUUCGUUUCCUUGCAGGGGAUUCAUCGAGGUCAUUCCUGGAGCUUUAUGCUGAGCGCACCAUACAGGUGGGUGCCUUCCGCUUCUAAGAAGAUGCCUGAAGCAAAAGUCCCUAGCUCUCAAGGACAGGGUCAGUGCCUCCUCUCAGCCUGGGCAGGAUGAACCGGGCACAGGGACACUGUGGAGCAGGCACCUGCAACGGGCCUCGUGCUCCUUCCACGGGAGUGGACAGCCCUUGGCACAAGAGACCUAUUGGGCAUCGUGCUGCUGGCCUUUGUUCCGCGCCUACCACUUACAAAUAAGUCCCCCCUCUGAACUGUUUCUGCUCCUGAGAUAAAGUCUAGGAAGCCUGGAGGUUAGCAGCCCCCACCUCCUUCGUGCCCCUAAUUUCCACCCACCUGUGUGGAAAGACUCUCCAGCUGCUUACAACCUGGGUCUGUCACCAAACACUGAGGGACACCACUCCGGCAGGUCUUAAGGAAAAGGCUGUCCUGCCGCAGGUUUUGCCAGGCCUUCCUGAUAGAUGGAGCCCUGGGAGAGAAGCCCAGUGCACAGAGGCCAGCUGCCCCUGCAGCCCCGAGUUCUACAGGAUCGUCACAGUUGGCCAUUCCCGUUGGUUCCAUUUGGAUAGAAAGGAUGUUUGUUUGUUUGUUUGUUUUGAAGAAAGAAGAGAAUGAAAAAAAAUACGAAGCUAAAACCCAAAUUAGUUCUUCUCCCCUGAAAUACACUGACUGGAUGCACUCUUGGAAGUUCUCAAAGACAUAUUUUCAAAGGGUGAAGUUCUAAAGAUUUCAAAAAAGAUGGUCAAAUAUAAUCUUUUCUUUUUUCUUUCUGAAGAAUAGUGGAUCACAAAGUUAUCUGAGUUUUACAGCCAGGAAGGUGAGGAAGCGUAGAUUUGGGCCCUGGCUUGGCAUAAACAUAAAAAACACUGCAGCCCACUUAUGUGUGCAGCUUAAUUUCUUUUUGUCUCAUAAUUACAGCCCUUUGCCUAGGUCUGAGUGACAGGAGAGCGAGGCAACAGCGCCAUCUGUAGGAGAAAUGUGGUAGUCCAGGAAGGAUGCCCGCAGCCCUGCCUUUUAGACCAAUCCCUGACAGGGCUGGGAGGAUCCAGAGCCAACAUCCCCC
rnacentral:lncRNA from 1 species